GUAGUCUACGCUGUAAACGAUGAUCACUCGAUGUAUGCUCAUUAGAGCAUAUGUCCAAGCGAAAGCAUUAAGUGAUCCACCUGGGGAGUACGCUCGCAAGAGUGAAACUUAAAGGAAUUGACGGGGGUCCGCACAAGCGGUGGAACAUGUGGUUUAAUUCGCCUAUCCGCGAAGAACCUUACCUGGGCUUGAAUGUAUUUUUAGCUUCGAGAAAUCGGAAGUGUCUGAAAGGAAAGAUACAAGGUGGUGCAUGGCUGUCGUCAGCUCGUGCCGUGAGGUGUUUGGUUAAGUCCUAUAACGAGCGCAACCCCUAUACUUAGUUGCCAGCACAUAAUGGUGGGGACUCUAAGUAAACUGCCUGUGUAAACAGGA
rnacentral:rRNA from 1 species